rnacentral:lncRNA from 1 species
GUGUCGGGAGAGCGGUGUUCAGCACGGCAGCUGCUACGGAGCAAGGCAGAGAGACAGAGGUGCUCAAGCGCCUAGCCACGACGUGGCACAGUUCCAGUCCCAAGGGAUCUGGCACGAAAAUGCCCCCACUGGGGGCAGUGGGCAUGGGGCAGCUGCGAUUCCCUGGAUUCUUGAAGGGCUGGCACAUGCAACAUCUCUCAUUCCCCCCUCCCUUGGGUCAGAAGACGUGUGUAGGUUCAAGGACCAGAGGUUGAAUCUUCUUGCAGUCUUUCUUGUUGGUCAUGGGGUAGAUGUUGUUGUGGGGGGAGGGGACAGUCUCAGGCAGCUGGCUGAAGGAAGGCAGGCCUACAGGCCAGCUUGGUGUCCUGGCCUAGCGUGCAGAGGCAGUGCAGGGGCUCUGUGGCUGGGUGCCUAUGACACUGGAUCCAGAAUCCAGGAUUGUUGCCCCGGGUGAGCCGCGGGUUCUGAGUCCAACAUGGUAAAUACCCACUCAGGGGUUGCAGCAUAAGGUCGUGGGGGCCUGUUGCAGUCCUGGGGAGAGUUGCCGUUACCUUGGAGACCAGCUAAAGGUGGCUUGAAAGUUCCCCCCGUGGGAGAGGCCGCGGUCAGUCCUGGGAGGGCAGCCACAGUUGCUGUAGGGAUUGUCCACUGGCUUCAACAGGGCCUCCAGUCUGGGAGCCACCAGCUGCCACACUCUCCAGCCCUUUGCUCUCCUCCUCGGCUGGAAGCUGGGCAUCCACUCCGACUUCCAAUACUCUGAUGGUCUCGUGGCCUGACAUCACAAUGACCUGC